rnacentral:rRNA from 1 species
UACGUAGGGUGCGAGCGUUAAUCGGAAUUACUGGGCGUAAAGCGUGCGCAGGCGGCGAUGCAAGACAGGUGUGAAAUCCCCGGGCUUAACCUGGGAACUGCACUUGUGACUGCAUUGCUAGAGUGUGUCAGAGGGAGGUGGAAUUCCGCGUGUAGCAGUGAAAUGCGUAGAGAUGCGGAGGAACACCGAUGGCGAAGGCAGCCUCCUGGGAUAACACUGACGCUCAGGCACGAAAGCGUGGGGAGCAAAC